rnacentral:tRNA from 1 species
GGGCGCGUAGCUCAGGCGGUCAGAGCGUACGGCUCACAUCCGUAAGGUCAUAGGUUCGAGUCCUAUCGCGCCCACCU